rnacentral:rRNA from 1 species
UGGCGAACGGGUGAGUAAUACAUCGGAACGUGCCCAGUCGUGGGGGAUAACUACUCGAAAGAGUAGCUAAUACCGCAUACGAUCUGAGGAUGAAAGCGGGGGACCUUCGGGCCUCGCGCGAUUGGAGCGGCCGAUGGCAGAUUAGGUAGUUGGUGGGAUAAAAGCUUACCAAGCCGACGAUCUGUAGCUGGUCUGAGAGGACGACCAGCCACACUGGGACUGAGACACGGCCCAGACUCCUACGGGAGGCAGCAGUGGGGAAUUUUGGACAAUGGGCGAAAGCCUGAUCCAGCAAUGCCGCGUGCAGGAUGAAGGCCUUCGGGUUGUAAACUGCUUUUGUACGGAACGAAAAAGCUUCUCCUAAUACGAGAGGCCCAUGACGGUACCGUAAGAAUAAGCACCGGCUAACUACGUGCCAGCAGCCGCGGUAAUACGUAGGGUGCGAGCGUUAAUCGGAAUUACUGGGCGUAAAGCGUGCGCAGGCGGUUAUGUAAGACAGAUGUGAAAUCCCCGGGCUCAACCUGGGAACUGCAUUUGUGACUGCAUGGCUAGAGUACGGUAGAGGGGGAUGGAAUUCCGCGUGUAGCAGUGAAAUGCGUAGAUAUGCGGAGGAACACCGAUGGCGAAGGCAAUCCCCUGGACCUGUACUGACGCUCAUGCACGAAA